UUUAAAAUGAAAUGCAUAUGAGUUAUGUGGAAAAACGGGAAGUGAAAUACCAUGCAUAGAAUUGAUAUGAAAAGUAUAUAGAAAUGUGAGUUGAAAUGCCAUGCAUGAAUUAAUAUAUGAUGCAUAUGUAUGAAUUGGUGCGGUGGACGCACAGGUAAGAAUUGAUUUAUGAUGCAUAUGUAUGAAAUGGUGCGGUGGACGCACAGAUGAGUAUUUAAUUACUGUUAUGAUGAUGAUGAUAUAUAUUGAGCUCAAAUCCUGCACCAUGGUUUAGUGCUUAUAGUAUUCACCGCAUCGCACGCUCGCCUUGGAUCCAAGUAGAUGCUAGUCGUACAGUCCACGCGGAGUGGGUACGACAGACCAGUCGCGAGAGUGUUAGUGAGAUUCCGACUGGUGGGUGACCUUAGAUUAUGUGCACAGAUGAUUUAUGAGAAGCACUAGAGCGUAACUUGUGUGCAGAAGGCCGGACGGGUCACAGAGGUGACUCCGGUAGAGUGAUAAUGAUAGAUUUUGAGCUCUAGGUUCAACCGUAUAGGGCUAUUAGAGGGCCUACGGUUGAUUACUUUCUUGCACCUGAUAUGAUUAUGUUGAUGCAUUCAUACCUUAUUACUGUUGAGAUGAUGUGGCAUGGCAUAAUUAAUAUGAGAAAUGUUGAGAUGAUGUGGCAUGGCAUAAUUAAUAUGAGAAAUGUUGAGAUGACAUGGCAUGGCAUGAUUGAUAAAGAGAUAAUGUUGAGAUAGUAAAAAUGAAGUUUUGAGAAUAUAUAUGUAUAUUUAUAUUUUACAUUUCUGGGAAAGUAUACAGGUUUUACGGAGAGGGGUUACAACGUUUUGAGAAAUGUUUGGAUUUGGAAAAGAAUUGUUUUACUGACCCACUCAAUUUUGGUUUUGCGCCCCUCCAGGUUCAGGAAUCACAAAGGUGUGGUGACUACGAGGAAUUCGACGGUGUUCUGACAGAUUGGACAAAAUUAGGACUCACCUUCGGGUGUAUCAAUUUAAAUUGUAUCUUAAAGCUUCCGUACUGUGCAAAUGGUUACGUCACUCUCACGUGACGGCCAGCAUGCCCUCCUUCGGGACGGGGUGUGUCAAUCUAACCUUGGUGAAGAGACUUAGAGGUUCUCAAUUUUGGGAACUUGGAGAAACCUAUUCAUCCAACCAAAUCCAUAGAUUUUAGAUGCAAGGAAUGAAGGCCCUCUCUUUGGGUGAUUAGCCUUUGCUUAUGCAAGGAGGAAUCUACAAAGGUAAUAAUUUCAACUCACUUUGUUUUGAGAUGAUAAUUGGUUCACCAAUCUACUAGGCUUUGAAUUUCAUGGUAAUGUUUUGUUUUUGAGUGCAUACAAGCAUGAUUCCGCCUUUAAUUGUUAAUUGCAUGCUAUAUGAUGUUGCUCAAAUGAACAUGUUUUUCAAAAUAAUUCCUUCAUAUAUAUAUAUAAAAACUUGGUCCACUCACCCUUGUUUUGUGCCCCCUUUCAGGAUUUAGAAUCGAGGCAUAUGAUGCGAAUUUUAACUUAACACAAAUUAAACCCUCUUGUUGUCAAAUUGUAGUAUAAAUGCAAGUAGGAAUCGUUUUAAACCAGGGAUUAGGAGGGCUUGCUCAAACCUCUAAACUAACUUAAAAAUAUAUAAACAAAGUUAAAAACACUAAACUAGACUCAAAGAACUUAAAACAAACUCAAAGGACUCAAAACAAGCUAAAAAUGCUCAAAUCAACCUAAAAACACAAACUGGGCAGAUUUGGACUCUAACACUUUUGGGACACCUAAAAACACAAAUCAAAAUAGAUUUUGACUAAUAAAACACUUUAAAGUAAAGGGGGUUUUGGCUUUGACGAAUUUGAAAACAAAACAAGUAAAUUAAAGAACUAAUGAAGUCUGCACGAAUUUGAGUAAAUUGAAUGGAUGGAAGGCUAGCUAGGAGGUUCUUCUCCACAAAUGACAUACUUGCACAUAAACCAAUUUUUAGUUGUUCUUUCGAUCAAUCAUGAAACUCAACACCCCAGGUUAAUUAAGUCCGCUUAAAUUAACCUUCAAGUUCUCCUUAAGUUAUUGAAUUGGAUGAGAAAGCGCAUACAACAAUUCAAGCAUUCUUCAAAAGUUCUUUACGUGAACAGCACAAUAAAGAUACAAUCAAAGAUCAUUAAGCAUUAUGAAAACUAUAAGUAUUGACGAGACACUCGUUACUAUGAUGAGCAUGAAACUCCUGCCAAUAAUUUAUUUAACGCGAUCGUUUAUAAGCGACCUCCACUACUUGUGAAUAUGAGUUCGUAAUUAUUAGGUGAAACUCCCUUAUACUCUAGCAUCAUAUUCAUGCAUGCAAACUAAGUGUGCACUCUUAAUAAACAUACACGAAUAAGUUAUCAAUCAAGCAGUUAAACAAAUUGAAUCCACAACUUAUGAAAUCACAACUGAAGGUAAUCAAAUCAUAUUGCAAGCAUGAACAUGGUUUCGAAUUCCCCCCUAGCUAAGGGGGGUUUAGUUCCUCAUACUCAUAAAGCAAAGAUAAACAAAUUUAGACAUUGAAAACAAAAGAAUGAAAACACCUAAAAACACUCAAACAAUCCAACUUGAAUGGCAAGCACGUCCAAGGGUCAUCCAUCUUCUCUUUGUUGCGGCACAAGGUGUGGUUUGAUGGAUGAGUGGUAAAUUAUGGUGGUGGAUGGAUAUAGGUGAGUUAUGGUGAAGGGUGGAUGGGUGGAUUGUGUUCUCCCCCAAGGAAUGAAAGUGUAAGUGUAUGGAGUUGUGAGAUGUGAAUGUAGUGUCUUUGGAUGGAUCUUUUCUCCUCCCUUGUUAUGGUGAAGGGUGGAUGUAUUUAUAGGCUAGGGAGAGGACCACCAUCUAAUUAAGGUGGUAGUGGUGUAUGUUGUGGUAAUGUGUGGAUAUAAUGAGUGUAGUGGGUGAGUGUUUGGUAAUGAGUGGAUGUAAUGGGUGUAGUGGAUGGAUGUUUGGUAAUGAGUGGAUGUAAUGGGUGUAGUGGAUGAGUGUUUGGUAAUGAGUGGAUGUAAUGGGUGUAGUGGAUGGAUGUUUGGUAAUGAGUGGAUGGGUGUAGUGGAUGAGUGUUUGGUAAUGAGUGGAUGUAAUGGGUGUAUUGGAUGGAUGCUUGGUAAUGAGUGGAUGGAAUGGGUGUAGUGGAUGAGUGUUUGUAGUUAUAGGUCAACACACUUGCACGCACACAUGCUGAUUUCUAGCCUUCUAAUCUUCAAAAACGUCCAUCCUCAUGUCUCCAUGCUUGCACUAUCCAAUCUUGGCCCAAAAAUGCUCCAAAGUGCUCCAAAUAGCACUUUGUUGCCAACUUUGUUAUUUGAACCUACAAACACACGAAAAUAGCUUAAAGUACUAAAAUAACUAGAAUUAAACUAAUUAAAUGCCAAGAAACAAGCUCACUAAGUUGCAUAAAUAUGCUCUUAUCAAAUUCCCUCACACUUAGCUUUAGCUAGUCCUCGAGCAAAACAAAAGAAACAGAACGAAACAAAACAAACAAAACAAACAAAACACAACCUAACCAUCCAACAUUUGCCUCAGGGAUUUCCAAUGCACAUGACAUGUUAAAAAUCAUCAUUCCCAAGAUUUUGGUUAUCUUCACACUUGAGCAUAAACUUAAUCACAGUCACUACUUACUAGUUCACAAUUAACCAAUUAAAACAAUGUUUUGAAUGUAGUAACAUGCCUUAGGGAAUUUGCUCAAUUCCUUACAAGAUACUUUCUAUUUCUCACACACAUUUUCUGACUACACACCCUACACUAGUAUAUGUGAGAAGAUUAAUGUAAACACAAAAGACUAGGACUCACAUAUGUUAUAACAAAGAAAGCAAUUUUCUGGAGUUAUUAAGCAUCUUUAGAUAUGAUCUCAUGAAUGGAAUGCUACUACUUAGAUGCGAGAACCAGUGACACCAUAUGCUCAUACCAAUUUCGAACUCCACAAAUUGAAACACACAACACUCAAGAUUGAAGUCAAGGGUUGUAACAGGGCUUGGGGGUAAUGGCUAAUAAAGAAAGGAUAGGAAUAACAAACGUUCUUAAAGCGAUAGCAAGCAAAGCAAUGAAAUAGACACUUGGAAUUCACUUUAGAAUGCAGAAUCAACUUUUAAAUACAAAGGGAAGAUUCAUGCAACACUUAGGGCCGAAUUCAAUGUUUUGGACCCUUUUUUAACAAACUUUUUUCUUUUCACUCUUUUUUUUUUUCUUUUCUACCCGUGCCUUAUUAAGGACUUUGGCACACACACACACACACACACACACAAGAAUCACUUCCCCCACACUUGCUUUCUGCAAUACAUUGAUAAAAAAGGAGUUCAUUUUAAGUCAUGCUUUACUAUGCUUCAAGAACAAGGGUAUGGAUGGUCCUAAAACUAGGCUAGGUAAGGAUAGUGUGGUUUAACAAAGAACAUAGGUUUAACAAGGCUUAAUGAGGUUAAACUUAAACACAUAAUGAAAUAGGGGCACAGCAAUUUGGCUUUGGUGGUCACUACACAACUUCAUCUUGAAAAUGUGUUAUGCAAAUCAUUAGCAUGCUUUGAAUGAAAUAGGCAUGAGUUCUAGCAUUUGGAACUAAAUGAUGAAACGCCUUCUAAGUAGCAACCAAGCAAAGAAUAAUGAGAUCAUGCAACGACUUUAGAAAACAAUUAUGCACAGAUUAUUAACUCUCUUUAACAUGUUACAAAACUGAUUUUUCCUUUAUGAUUGCAUGUGAAUUCAUAAAUUAUAACCACAACCAAGCAUACACCAAAGAGUAAAUCAAAAUUUCAUCCAUGUUUAUAACUCUCUUUAAUAGUCAUGUAAUUAAAAACCAAAUCCUCAUCAUUGUGUUGGAAGGUACCCUAAGACACAAAUAAACAUACAAAAAUAACUCUUUUUGGGUUUUUCAAAACAAUUUUUCAAAUUUUUAUGAGAUUUUCGGAUUUUUAUGUCAAAACACACUAAAACACUCCAAAACAGCUUAAAAACACUUAAAACAGUAAGGAACAACACUAGAAGUAAUGGGUGAUAAACUCCUACGAAUUUCAUGCAAAACAAUGGUUAGCCCCCCCACACUUAAAUUAAACAUUGUCCUCAAUGUUUCAAGCAUAAACUCACACACAAAAAAUAAGCAAACAAACAAACAACGAAUAAACAUGACAAGUAUGGCAAAGUAAAAACCAGACAGAGUAGAAUUUAAGAACGCAAAUCUGGUUUUGGAGAUAGAUGAUCUUGUUGUCUUUCCAUAGCUUUGAUCUCGAACUGGUUUGGAAUUCUGAGCGAGGAAUAUGAGAGUUCCUUAGUUUCAAUUCAGACUCCUUCUGCUGGGUUGAUUUGAUUGUGCAGUCUGCAUUCUUAUCUGCUUGUUUUUUUUGCACGGCAGGCAGGCACGAGGUAGAGGUGUUGGUUUGUUUCUUUCUUCAAUCUUUCCAAGUGCCCACCUCUUGCUUUCUUUCUCCUUGUCCGUAGCUGAGGAUGAAUUAGCAAAAUGUCUGCACAUCCUUCGAGGUAUCAUUUUCACUUUCCUUAUCUGUUCCCCAGACAGAUGUGGUAGACGAAGAGGAAGCAUAAGAUGAUGAAGAUGAGUACUCGAAAGCAAGGCUAGGUAAGCAAUCAGGAAGGGGUUCCAGGCAGUCGGUUCCAGAUUAGAAAAUUGAUAUCAAGUGCUGGCUGAUUGCUCUCUUUCUCCUUGUCCCAAAACAACGACAAGGAGAAGGACAGGGAGAAAGCAUGAUAUGAGAUACUCUUGCUUUCAACCUUCAUGAUAUGAAAUACUUUUGCUUUGGAUGAGUUAUUUGCAGAGGUACCCCAAGGAAAAGUUGUUUGCAGAGGUACCCUAAGGAAUAAGAAACACUGAGUGACUCGAGAGGGUUUGUUGGAAAGGCAUUCUCGGAGAAGAAGAAGGGUUAUGUAUGUUUGCCUUGCAAUGGAGGGUGAAGGGUGACAUUUAUAUGAAUUAAUAACCGGUACUAUUCUUUCACUCUUGUCAGUAACCGUUGGAUGAUUUAAUAGUAAACUUCACGUUCUUUCUACUUCACAAGAGAUCUUCGACAGAUUGCUCGUAAUUUUUGCAAGGCUGAGUGUGCAUGUGACAGGCGCUGACACGUCUGGAAAUCCAAGUGCCUUUUCGAUAUCUGGAAUCGGCGCUUCAACAAACUACCCGUGAUUUUGCAUGUGAUAGAUGCUGACACGUCUGGAAAAACAGAUGUCUCUCCAAUAUCUGGAAUCAGCGCUUCGACAAACUGCCCGUGAUUUCCGCAAAGCUGACUCUGAAUGUGACUGAUGCUGACACGUCUGGAAAAACAGAUGCCUCUCCGAUAUCUGAGCUUGCCUCUUCGAUCUCUGAAAUUCCGUCGAGUGCAGAGGUUGCAUGUGACAAGUGCGGACAAAUCUGGAAAAGAAGAUUGGGCGUGGUUUCUGAGCAAGCCCAGCUUUUGAGAAAGCUAGCGCCCCUUCGAUUUUUGAGUUGGCCUCUUCGAUUUCUAAGCUCGCCUCUUCGAUCUUUGAAAUCCUGUCGAGUGCUAAUUUUUAUAGAGGUAUGCAGGACGUUCAAAGCACACUUCAAUUUCUGCCUGUACAAACUCCAUUCUUGCACUUCUACGAUCUUGACUUGUCCGACCUCUUCUUUCUUUAACACCUCUGAAAAUGUCUGGCCUCUCUGACCGUCGUUUUGACUUGAACCUUGGUGAAGAGGUAGUCCCGCAUUCUCCAGACAACAUAUGGCGCCCAUCCUUCAUAUCCCCUACUGGUCCCCUUACCGUUGGGGAUUCGGUGAUGAAGAAUGAUAUGAUAGCUGCGGUGGUGGCCAGGAACCGUGUCACUCCCAAAGCUAACAGACUACUUGGCAAACGGUCUGAUGAGUUGGCUGUUAAGGAUUCUCUGGCUCUCAGUGUGCAGUGUGCAGGUUCUGUGUCCAAUAUGGCCCAACGCCUAUUUGCUCGAACCCGUCAAGUUGAAUCAUUGGCGGCUGAAGUGAUGAGUCUCAAACAGGAGAUUAGAAGGCUCAAGCAUGAGAAUAAACAGUUGCACAGGCUCGCACAUAACUAUGCUACAAACAUGAAGAGGAAGAUUGACCAGAUGCAGGAAUCUGAUGGUCAUAUUUUACUUGAUCAUCAGAGGUUUGUGGGUUUGUUCCAACAGCAUUUUCCUUCGUCUUCUGGGGCUGUAUCGCGUAAUGAAGCUCCAAAUGAUCAACCUCCGAUGCUUCCUCCUUCUGGGGCUCCGCCGACUACUGAGACUUCUCCUAAGCAGCCUUUGUGAAGGCUUCCUCUUGUAGCUUUUUUCUGCUUAAUGUUCCCUUUUUUUAUGAAAAUGAAUGUAAAAAUACCUUGCAUAACUGUCAGUGUUUUAAAAAUAAAUCCACAAAAAAAACAAUUAAACAAGCAAAAAUAAAAAUAACAAUCAUGGCAAAAUAAAACUACAGAAAAGGGAAGGUUUUUAGGAAUGCAAAACCAAUCGUGGAGCAAUUCAAAAAUCUUCCUUAUUUGAAUACAUGGGUUGCCUCCCAAGAAGCGCUUGCUUUAAUGUCUUCCAGCCGGACGAAACUUCCUUCUAAACUUGGAUAGGGCCCAUAGCAUGGAAUUGAUUCUUGAAUGGAAGGUGAUACUUGACGUGAUUCGGCAAUGGUUUAAAUUCUAGUGUAGGUGCCUGAAUCAUCAAAAUCAGCAAGUUAGUAUAUAAUAAAAUCGAAGUUGGAGAAGAUGGCUUACUUGCUUGCUCCAACACAAACUCAAUUACGAACACCAUAUCUUUGAAGGUUGCAGGGAUAUGGGACUUGGCCAGAUUUGGUGUUUUGAGAGUUAUGACUUGUCCUGUGUCAUAAAAUCCAACUUCUUAGGGAAUUUUCAUCUCAAAUGUAUCUUCUUUGAUGAAUUCUAGACAUUCCCCAUCCACUUCUUGCUCUUGAUUCGUUGGAAAGGUUUCGAAGAUGCCUUUCUCACCUUCUUCUUCCUUGGAUUGCAUGAUCCUGCAAGGAAUAAGGACAUUUGGUGAAACGAGGUCAGGACAAAUUGGAUUUAGGCUUACCUUGGUUGUAGUGGACGACAUAGAUGGCAUAUGGGGUUGUGGCAAAGGUGGUUCUUCCCUUGCUGUGGCUUUGUUAUUCUCCUCUUAUUCGAGCAGCAGUUGUUCAUCCAUGUUUUGGCUUGGUUUGGAUGUCUUGGGUUCACCUCCAACCUCCAUAGCACUUCCCAAAGUGAUAGCAUCAUGGAUUUCAAAAUCUUCCUUCAAAUUUUUAAUAGUUGAGUUGGAGAGUUCACUUUGCUCUUGAAUUUGUGCCAUGAACUCCAUAAUCUGCCCAAUUUGCUUAUCCAAUUCUCCCGUCUUCUUGGCUUGAUUUUGCAUCUCUUUGUUUCCAUUUUCUACUUCUUGGUUCAAAGAGGUGAGUAACUUAUUAAACAUAUCAUUAUCCAAAGACGUGCCUUAAUUGAAUUGGGCAGAUUGUUGUGGUGGCUGCAUAGGUCUUGAGUAGAAUUCCUCUUCUUGCUGCCAAUAUCCAUCUUGUUGGAAUUGUUGAGGUUUUCCACACAUGUAAUCUAAAUAAUCUCUCCAAUCUGAAUUGUAAGCGUUGGAAAACAUGUUGUCCCAUGAUUGGCUAUGGCUUUGAUAACCCCAAGCAUCUUCAUUCGUAGUGAAUUGAGAACAUUGAUGAGUUGGAUAUCCUUGCCCAUAGGACACACCACAUGUAGGGACACUUUGCAUUGUGGUCCUUUCGGCAUAUUGUGACAAUUGAGAAGUAAGUUUCGCCAAUUGAGCUUGAAUGGUAGCAAAAUCCAUGUCUUACUUCUCUAGUACCUGAAAGCAAGGAAACAAAACUAAAACAAAUAUCAUAAGUAAAAAUAAAAGACACAAAUAGAAACAAAGUCAGUAACUAAAACAAAAGUCAUGAAAAAGAAACAAUGGGGGAUUAGCAAAGUUGCUAAUCCCAGGCAACGGCGCCAAAAAUUUGGUGCGAAAAUUACUUAACACACAAAUUAAACCCUCUUGUAUUAAUUGUAGUAAAGAAUGUAAGUAGGGAUCGUUCUGGACCGGGGAUUAGGAAGGCUUGCUAAUAACCUAUAAAUUGACUUAAAAACAUAUAAACAAAGUUAAAAACACUAAACUAGACUCAAAGAACUUAAAACAAACUCAAAGGACUCAAAACAAGCUAAACACGCUCAAACCUGCCUAAAAACACAAACUGGGCAGAUUUGGACUCUAACACACUUUUGGGACACCUAAAAACACAAAUCAAAACAGAUUUUGACUAAUAAAACACUUUAAAGUAAAUGGGGUUUUGGUUUUGACGAAUUUGAAAACAAAACAAGUAAAUUAAAGAACUAAUGAAAUCUGCACGAAUUUGAGUAAAUUGAAUGGAUGGAAGGCUAGCUAGGAGGUUCUUCUCCACACAUGACAUACUUGCACCUAAACCAAUUUUCAGUUGUUCUUUCGAUCAAUCAUGAAACUCAACACCCCAGGUUAAUUAAGUCCGCUUAAAUUAACCUUCAAGUUCUCCUUAAGUUAUUGAAUUAGAUGGGAAAACGCAUACAACAAUUCAAGCAUUCUUCAAAUGUUCUUUACGUGAACAGCACAAUAAAGAUACAAUCAAAGAUCAUUAAGCAUUAUGAAAACUAUAAGUAUUGAUGAGGCACUCGUUACUAUGAUGAGCAUGAAACUCCUGCCAAGAAUUUAUUUAACGCGAUCGUUUAUAAGCGACCUCCACUACUUGUGAAUAUAAGUUUGUAACUAUUAGGUGAAACUCCCUUAUACUCUAGCAUCAUAUUCAUGCAUGCAAACUAAGUGUGCACUCUUAAUAAACAUACAUGAAUAAGUUAUCAAUCAAGCAAUUAAACAAAUUGAAUUCACAACUUAUGAAAUCACAACUGAAGGUAAUCAAAUCAUAUUGCAAGCAUGAACAUGGUUUCGAAUUCCCCCCUAGCUAAAGGGGGUUUAGUUACUCAUACUCACAAAGCAAAGAUAAACAAAUUUAGACAUUGAAAACAAAAGAAUGAAAACACCUAAAAACGCUCCAACAAUCCAACUUGAAUGGCAAGCACGUCCAAGGGUCCUCCUUCUUCUCUUUGUUGCGGCACAAGGUGUGGUUUGAUGGAUGAGUGGUAAAUUAUGGUGGUGGAUGGAUAUAGGUGAGUUAUGGUGAAGGGUGGAUGGGUGGAUUAUGUUCUCCCCUAAGGAAUGAAAGUGUAAGUGUAUGGAGUUGUGAGAUGUGAAUGUAGUGUCUUUGGAUGGAUCUUUUCUCCUCCCUUGUUAUGGUGAAAGGUGGAUGUAUUUAUAGGCUAGGGAGAUGACCACCAUCUAAUUAAGGUGGUAGUGGUGUAUGUUGUGGUAAUGAGUGGAUGUAAUGGGUGUAGUGGGUGAGUGUUUGGUAAUGAGUGGAUGUAAUGGGUGUAGUGGAUGGAUGUUUGGUAAUGAGUGGAUGUAAUGGGUGUAGUGGAUGAGUGUUUGUAGUUGUAGGUCAACACACUUGCACACACACAUGCUGAUUUCUAGCCUUCUAAUCUUCAAAAACGUCCAUCCUUAUGUCUCCAUGCUUGCAUUAUCCAAUCUUGGCCCAAAAAUGCUCCAAAGUGCCAAAAUAGCACUUUGUUGCCAACUUUGUUAUUUGAACCUACAAACACAUGAAAAUAGCUUAAAGUACUAAAAUAACUAGAAUUAAACUAAGUAAAUGCCAAGAAACAAGCUCACUAAGUUGCAUAAAUAUGCUCCUAUCAGUAUACGAUCCCGACGUCAACGCUUUCACAUUGGCAUAUUCGAGUCCUCUCGGUAUAGAACCCACAUCCUUUUAUUUAUUCAAUUUUUUAUUAAUUCUUUUAGAGCUCUAGUUAGUUGUAUGCUCUAAAUACGUUCCUAAAUUUUUAACUCAUUGUAUUUAAAUUCAUAACCCUUAUUUACUUCUUAUUCUUAACUUUUAUAUCAAUUAGUGGCUUUCGUCACCCUCAGGUGUCGGCCAGCACGUGUCAAUCCUAAUAUUCAGGGAAUAUCAGGGUCGGGGUGUGUCAGAAUAUGCUAACGGGUUUAGGUAUAAUUAGCGGUAUAUGCUGAUUUUUUAACGGAAUAUUCCCUAACAUCGUUAGGUUUCCGUCCAGCGUGCUAGGCAUGUGCCUCCGUGUGGCCGCACUUGGGUCAUCGGAAAUUUUUUCUAAAAAUAUGGGGUUGUUCCUAGGGUUGAAUAGAUCAUGUUGGUAUAUUCAAACACCCCAAUUGAGCAAUGUGUGAUAAAUUAUUAUCUAGUUUUGUUUAUGUGCUUUAAAAUAAUGUUUAAAUAGUUGUUUCGCAUAUAGGUGAGACCUAUCUUGAGGACGAGCACAAUCAAGUGAGACUCGGGGACUACGACCCUUCCACAUAUCAGUGAGUGGGCUUUUGGUUUUUAGUAUAUACUUAUAUACUUAGUAUUUUUCCCAGAAAAUGUGUUUAAAGGAAAUAAUGUUUUGAAAUGCCAUGCCUAUUGAUUUAUACUUAGAUUAUGAAUUAGUAUAGUAAUUGCAUAUAUCUAUGUUCGAUGUUGUGGAUGCUUAGGUAAGUGCCAAGUGAGUUGUAGAUUGUUAACAUGAGUUGAUGAUUAUUUUGAGAUGACACACCCCGACCGAGAUCAAGGCACACCGGCUGUCACAUGAGAGUGACGUAGCCAUGUGCACAGUGCGGAAGCAAUAAUGAAAAGAAAUAUACGAAUAAUCAAAAACCAAAUUACUAGAGUGCACUACUAAAUAUGAAGUGAUAGGAGUUAGUUACAAACGUAAAUACUCUUAAUCAGAGCAUAGUAAGUCUAGGUGUAGUCCAGUAGGAUAAGUACUAGUUAUACAGUACCAGAAAUGUCCUACUAUUAUUUAGGUAGGUCAGAACUGCCGACAUCCUCAAGCCACCAACAGCAAGCUUACUUAAAACUUGAAGGGGCGCAAAACAUAAAAUGUGAGUGGGUAAAAACAAACGUUUUGCAAAAUCAUUUUCUUUAUCAACAUAUCUAACCCCUCGCUAUAAAACAUGUAUAAUUUUUCCCAGAAUCAGAAUAUACGCAUAUACAUAAUUUAUAUAUAUAUAUAUGAAAUCAUAUCAAUUCAAUUCAUGCUUCACAUAAUCAUUUUCAAAUAUAUGCCAUGCCAAUAUAUAACAAAGUAAGCAAUUCAGGUAAGAAUAAAUUCAUAGAAAUAUGAUAUGUUAGCCGGAACCCCUUUGGUAGUCUGUACGGCUGAAUUCAUAGCUCAAAAGUCAAUUUAGCCGGAGUCACUACAAUGACCUAUACGGAAAUAUACUCCACAUAAGUCGGACCCACUAAAAAGGUUUGUAUUACAAGAUUGGGUGUAAUAUAGUUAUGCUCAAUUUUACUCUCUCAUAAUAGCCGGGCGAUAAAUCGCUAGUCACCUACGAGUCGGAACCUUAAUUAAGGUUUGUACGACAAGACUGUGCACUUAAGUUGGAUCCAAUAUGAGCAUAUAGUGCGGGAGAUGACAUAAAUAAACAAGCAUGUACUUCACAUCUCUGGCUAAAUCACAAUCACCCUAGGUGCAGUUUUAUGAGCUCAACAUCAUGCAAUCACAUAUCACAUCAUCGAUGAUUCACAUAACCAAACAUAACUUACCUGCACUUACCUGUGCCUCCACAGCACCACAUUUAUACAUACAUAUAUAUAUAUAUAUGCAACCAUGAAAUGCAUAUUCAGAAUAUAAAAGCAUUUGGCAUAUUAUUUCAAAGCAUAUUUUCCUUAAAAAAAUGCAUUUCUGGGAAAUAUAUCAAGUAUAUAAAUAUAUACUGAAAACAAAAGCCCACUCAUUGGUAUGUCGAAGGGUCGUUGAUAGGAGCAUAUUUAUGCGCCUUAGUUGAGCUUGUUCUUGUGCAUUUAUAGUGUUUUUCCUUAGUAAAGUAGUCUUUUAAGCUAGUUUUAUGUGUUUUCAGGUUUUAAGGGCAAAGUAUGCAAAAGGAUGCAUUUUGGAGCCUUUUGGAGCACAUUUGAGCUUGGAAUGGAUGUCAUAUGCUUGGAGCCAAGAUGAUGGACGAAAUUGAAGAUUUGAAGAUGAUGUUUCCUACUUUAACAAAGUUUCCUAGUUGAAGUAGGAAAGUCCCUAAGUGAAGAUGGAAUCCUAGUUGAAUUAGGAUUCCUAGUCAAAAUGGGUUUCCUAGUUGCAUUAGGAUUCCUUGAAGAUGAAGAUUCCUACUCAAACAAGGUAUCCUACUUGAUGUAGGAAAGUCAAAAUCCAAAAUGGUCUCAAGUGAAGCAACAAAGAAGUUUUCCAAGUCCAAGAAGGAAAAUGAGUCCAAGAUGAAGAAGGAAUGACAAAGACAAGGUUUCCUAAUCCUAAUAGGCAAAGUUUCCAAGUGCAAUGAGGAAUCCUUAUCCAUUUAGGGCACCUUAUCCAUUUAGGAUACCUUAUCCUUGUUCUAGAAACCUUAUCCAUUCUUGCUGUGAGUUUUCCUUGCAUUAGAGGGUUUCUAGAAGCCCUAAUCUGCCCUAUCCUUUAGUGCCGCACCUAUCCCUUCUAGAAAGCUGAUUUCCCUUGCCUUGCAAGGCAUUCUAGAAGCCUUAUCACCUCAUCUCCUUACCUGCCGCACCUAGGAAGCAUUAUCCCUUUUUAUUUCUGAUUUCUAAGCCUUUUUCCUUGGGGAGUUGGGUUCUAGAAAGCCUAAUCUGAUUCACCUAGGGUUUUGGGGUCCUAUAAAUAUGUUUGCCGCAGCCACCAAACACCUUUCUCCCUAGUUUUUAAGCCUUGCCGCACCAUCCCCAUCCCCUAAACACUACUACAUUCAUCCAUAACCAUGCAUCCAUACACCUGAUGUCCUAAACCUGUCCCUAGACCCUUGUCGCACCAAGGAGGAGGAGAAGGAAGCUCGGAAGUUCAUGCAAUUCAAGUUCGCGUCGCUGGAAUUUCUAGGUGUUUCUUUUCCUUUGAUUUCAAUGUUUAAAUUCAAUUCUCUUUGUUUUGUGCGUAUGAGGAACUAAACCCCCCUUGGCUAGGGGGGAUUCGAAAUACAUGUUUAUGCUUGCGAUAUGAUUUGAUUACUUCUAAUUGCGUUUCAUAAGUUGUGAAUUCAAUUUACUUAUCUAUGUGAAUUACAUUGAUUUGUGUGUGUUGGUUGAGAGUGCACGCUUAAUUAUCAUGCAAAAAUUGAAUGCUAGGAUAUAAGGAAAUUUCACCUAAUCGUUAUGGACUUAUAUUCACAAGUAGUAAAGGUUGAUGAUCUCAAUUGCAUUAAGUAAAUUCUUGGCAUAAGUUUCAUGCAAUCAUAGUAACAAGUGCUUCGUCAAUGCUUAUGGUUUUCAUAGAACUUAAUGAUUCUUGCUUGUAUCUCUAUUAUGCAAUCAUGUAGGGGACUUGUGGGGAAUGCUUUGGGUUGUCGUAUGCAAUCAUCCAAUUCAAUAACGUUAGGAAAAUCUGAAGGGUUAUUUAAGUGGACCUAAUUAACUUGGGGCGUUGAGAAUUCAUGGUUUAUUGAAAAGCAAUUGGGAAUCGUUUUGUAUGCAAGUGUAACAUGUGUGGAGAUGAACCCCUUAGCUAGCCUUCCAUCCAUUCAUUUAAACCAAAUUCGUUUUAAAAUCUGUUCGUUUUACAAAGUUUUGUUUUGUUUUCAAAUUCGUCCAAAAUCAAUCCCCCUUUUCUUUGUUGAGUCAUAUUAGUUAGAAGUCAAGUUAGUUUGUGUUUUUAAGUGUUUUGAGUCAAGUUAAAAACCUAAUUUCGUCAAGUUUGUGUCUAGUGUUCAAAACUGCCCAGAUUGUGUUUUUAAGGCAGUUUUGAGUGUUUUGGUGCUGUUUUGAGUCUUUUGGUUUGUUUUGGUAUUUUAAAGUUUAGCUUUGCAUUCUUUGAGUCUAGUUUAGUGUUUUAAACUUGUUUUUACGUAUUUGAGUCAGUUUUCAAGUGAUUUUGCAAUCCCUCCUAACCCCGGCCAGAACGAUCCCAACUUAAUACUUCUACAAUGAUAAAAGAGGGUUAAUUUGAGUGUAGUUAUUCACAUCGUCGUAGCCCCCGAGUCGCCGUGGAUAGCUCGUCCUCGGAUAAGCUUCACCUAAUGCAAAUUAAUAUACAAGUUAUUUUAAAGCACAUAGGUGAAACUAGCUAAUAACUUCUCAUACAUAGCUUAAAAUGGGUAUAUGAAUAUACCACAGUGACCUACACAACCUUAGGAACAACCCCAAAUUUUUAGAUAAAUUUUUCGAGCUCCCACGCGCCGCCACGAGCUGGCAAGGGCACGGUAAAACGCGCCCCCACGUGUGGCCAAACCUGACGGAUUUCCUAACCACAGUUAGGGAAUAUUCCGUUAAAGCUUAACAAAUUCCGUUAAAACUGACUGACGGCGUCAGCAUAUUCCGUCCAAACUGACGGAAUAUGCCGUCAUCUACUCCGGUGAGUCGCUGGUCGCUGGAAAACUGGGUAAAACUUUAAAACCUUUGUUCUCACUCAUUUCUUCACCAAAACUUAUGAAAUUUGAACCAUUGGAAAGUUAGCAAUGUGUAGAAUCACAUUAUACCAUUUUUAAGCCUUGAAAUCUACUAGAUUUUACCUAAGGAAGCUCAAUAAUCCGGUUAACUUUGAAAACCUUCGAUCUCGGCCCUUCGAUGUCCAAACUCUUCCAACGAACUACCCCGAGCUUCCUUAGGACCUCCUAAAGCUCCUUGUGAGCUUGAAAUCUUUUGAAACACAAGGUUUUACAUCCACAUGAAUAGUGCAUGAAAAAUGAAUUUCGGGUUCAUGAGUUUUCGAAGGAAUCCUUACCUGAAAUUGGUACCUUUGAACUCGUAGGGUCCUCACGAACACAAUGGUACCAUUUUCUUCCUUGAUCUGUGAGUUUUAAGAUGUCCUUGGUGUUGUCCGUACAAGAAGAAAAAGAUAGUGAGUCCGAGAGAGAUGAUGGCACGGGAAGGAAGGGAGAGGGAGUGGGUGCGGUGUGUGUGUGAUCCACGUGGUCACCAAUCCAAAACCACACAAUAAACUCUAAGUCUCAAUAUGUCACACAUACACACUACAAUUUCCCCGUCCAAAGAUAAAACUGUCAUUUCACGUCAUCAAAAAUUAAUUAUUAGGGACGGGCUGUGACAUGAGAUGCAUUAAGAGCUCAUAAACCUGCACCUCGGUGUUAGUGUUUCCAUCAGUGGUUAGGGCACAGUCCUUCAUGUGAUGUUCACCUCCCGCACCAUAUGCUCACCUUGGAUCCAAGUUAGGUGCAUAGUCUUGUCAUACAGAUCAUUAUAGGUGGUUCCGACUCGUAGGUGACUCGCGAUUAUUCGCACAGUCUUCACGCGAUCAUAGCACUUGAGCGUAUUUAUUUACACCUAGUCCUGUCGUACAGACCACUAUAGGUGGUUCUGACUCGUGUGCAGUCAUACUUGUUGAGCUAUAGGUUCAACCGUACAGGCCACUUUAGGUGGAUUCGGCUGAUAUGUUAUUUCUCAUGAAUUUAUUUCACCUGAGUUACUUAUUCUGUUAUUUUGAGAUAUUUGGCAUGGCAUACUUAUGAAUAUUGCUUGUUGAGCAUGGUAUUGAAUUAUGUAUAUAUUCUAUUUUCUGAAAAAUUAUACAGGUUUUACGACGAGGG
rnacentral:lncRNA from 1 species